rnacentral:rRNA from 1 species
GUUAGGAAUAUUGGACAAUGGGCGCAAGCCUGAUCCAGCCAUGCCGCGUGAACGAUGAAGGCCUUCGGGUUGUAAAGUUCUUUAGCCGAUGAUUAUAAUGACUGUAGUCGGAAAAUAAGCCCCGGCUAACUUCGUGCCAGCAGCCGCGGUAAUACGAAGGGGGCGAGCGUUAUUCGGAAUCACUGGGCGUAAAGCGUGCGGAGGCGGUCUCGUAAGUUAGGAGUGAAAGCCCAGGGCUCAACCUUGUCAUUGCUCUUAAUACUGCAAGGCUAGAAUCUCGGAGAGGAUAGCGGAAUUUCCAGUGUAGCAGUGAAAUGCGUAGAUAUUGGAAGGAACACCAGUGGCGUAAGCGGCUAUCUGGACGAGUAUUGACGCUGAGGCACGAAAGCGUGGGUAGCAAACAGGAUUAGAAACCCCAGUAGUCC